UUGCCACACCUCCCUCCAGAAUUUUGUUUUCAAGUAAAUAAUCCCCCUUCCCACCCCCCCCCCCCCACCAAAGUAAAAAUGGGCAUUUCCCUCACCCGUGCCCCUCCCCCUUCUACAGCUGCCAACGGUCCUGCAAUAAACUUUCGAUUAAACGAUUGGUGAACAGGAGUUAAAUCGAUCAUACCUGAAGAUUCGUCAUUAUUCGAAGAUUCUCCAAGUUAUUUUCUAUGACAAGAAUUUGAGAAUACAUCUCGAUACUUGAAUCAAGAUCUUUUACCCCAUGAGACGAAUUGCAUGGUCGUGCCGGCAAGUAUUCGAACGGAGAGGACGUGUAAGCUUCUCCAUCCAAAGAAAUUGAGUCGGAACUCUCCGAAAAAGUCCGCUUUCUUUUCCUCUCAUUCGAUAUUUCACCUGGUUUAAUAUCCGAACGAAAUAAAUGAAUCAAUCCUUCUUCUUAUGAACGACAGGUUAAGAGUACCAAAACAAAAAUUAUAAUAUCUAAACGGCUCUAUCUGAACGUCUACAGGAGCUAUCGGAGUUGCAAAGGUUUAUACUGGCCCAUACAGAAGACCAUCUACGGUGAAGCAAGUGAUCGGCUACGAACACCUCAAGCAAGGGGACUUCGUAGCUGUGAACCUUGCUAACUAUCGACCACCCAAUAUAGGAAAGGUGGCCGAGCUGCGAGGUGAGGAGUUCCUUAUCGAAUGGUGGAAAGGAUCCUGGUUGAGGUCGUGGCGGAUCUGGGAGGGAUGCGAAAAAGAAGUCCUCCCAGUAAAGUGCAUCCUCCUCUACGCCUUCGAGCUCGACGCAGAUAGAAAGCUGGUGAAGGACACUAAGCAAAACUUGAGGGCAGCGUACAAAAAUGUUUAAGUAUUACUAGUAGAAUAUCCUGCCAUUUUAACUAUUUGAUUCAUAACAAGGAAGAUGCUUUAUCACAUAAACAUAUGAGCGGCCAGUUUCAAGGGCGGUAGGAACAGUGUUUGUUAGGCUAAAUUCUGAAAAUUUCCCUCUAAUUUGGCUAAAAUGUGCCUUGUUUGUUAGGCUAGAUUCUGAUAAUAAACCACGUAUUUCCCUCUAAUUUGGCUGUGCCUUAUUUGCGACGCCCUCUCGAAGUUUGAUUACAAAAAAACAUUCAAGUUACGUUGGGUAACGUUUUUAGUCGAGCACGUUUCGGCUAGCGCGUCGGGGACAGUUUUCGCGCUACGGGGUAGUAGAUCGGGUUACCCAACGUAAUUUGACCGGGUUUUAAAAAAUCAAACAAGGAGAGCGCGUCGCAAAUAAGGCACAGCCAAAUUAGAGGGAAAUUCGUGGUUUAUUAUCAAGAUUUAGCCUAACAAACACUGUUCCUACCUAGUUUCACACAUUUCACUGGCAUUUUUUUUCUGUAGGCUAUCUGUAGGGUUUGAUAGUUUUUCCCGCACAAAAACCCCGAGUUCGCAUAUCACUCUCCUUGCGCAGCGCUAAAUCCAAGAUGGCGGCCGUGAUAUGCAAACUGUGUUUUCGGGGUUUCGUGCCGGAAAAACUAUAAAAGCCUACAGAUAGGCUAUUUUGCAAACUCGCCAACACCCUUCUUAGGAUUUUGAAAUUUGUUUGUUAUGGAGGUUACUCCAGGGAAAAUGGAAAAAAGAACGAUUAUCCGUACAAAAUUUUUCAAGGCCCGCAAGAGGAACAGAAGAAGAGAGAAGAAGAAAGCCAAAUACCCGAUCAGGUUAUACAGGCGUGAUUUUUUUCGUAGUUGCGGCAGAGGAACCGCUAUACAGAGUUUGCGCUAGGUUUCAAUCUUAAUUCAAAAUCACAAGAGUUUUGUAAUAAUUGGACUACGGUAAAUAUUCUUUUGCCAGAUGUUCAGUGUUAGUCGCAAGUGUGAAUAUCCAGGAGCAACCCUGAAAUAGAGUGUAAAGUACAAAUCUAGAACAAGUGACUGACAGUUUGGAAAGUGCACUAGUCUCAAUUACCCGGUCGAUGAAAAAGUACCAAUAAGGAAAUGUAGAUUACUAUUUGCAGAAUAAAGAAGUUUUAAACGG